CUCUCAAAUUCAGACUCAUCCUUGACUGUUACCAUGGCCUGGGCCUUGUUUCUCCUCACAUUUCUCAGUUACUCUUCAGGUGCAACUUCACAGCCAACCUUGACUCAGACUCCCUCACAGUCUGUUGCUCCUGGACAAACGGUUAAACUUUCCUGCACUGUCAGCAGUAACAAAAAUACCGUCUGCUGGGUUCAACAGAAAUCUGGACAGAGCCCCCGCUUCAUACAGUGUACAGGUGGUAGCAGGGGAGACGGAAUCCCAGACAGGUUCACAGCAUCUGAUUCUGGGAAUGUCGGCUCUUUAACCAUCACAAACACCCAGUCUGAAGAUGAGGCCAAUUAUUACUGUUACAUGUGGUAUAGCAGCGGUAGCCAGUUCCACGGUGGUAAAACCUGA